GUCUACGGCCAUGCCACCCUGAACAAGCCUGAUGUCUGAUCCUGGAAGCGAAGCAGGGUCGGGCCUGGUUAGUACUUGGAUGGGAGACCACUUAGGAAGAUCAGGUGGUGUAGGCA
rnacentral:rRNA from 1 species